rnacentral:rRNA from 1 species
UACGUAGGGGGCAAGCGUUGUCCGGAUUUAUUGGGCGUAAAGAGCUCGUAGGCGGUUUGGUAAGUCUGGUGUGAAAUCUCCACGCUCAACGUGGAGGGGCCACCCGAUACUGCCAUGACUGGAGUCCGGUAGAGGAGUGUGGAAUUCCCGGUGUAGCGGUGAAAUGCGCAGAUAUCAGGAGGAACACCUGCGGUGUAGACGGCUUACUGGACCGUAACUGACGCUGAGGCACGAAAGCGUGGGUAGCAAACAGG